GUGUCAGCCGCCGCGGUAAUACGAAGGGUCCAAGCGUUGUUCGGAAUCAUUGGGCGUAAAGCGAGCGCAGGCGGAUCAGCAAGUCAGAUGUGAAAUCUCGAAGCUCAACUUCGAAACUGCGUCUGAAACUGCUAGUCUAGAAUGUCGGAGGGGAUAGGGGAAUUUCACGUGUAGGGGUAAAAUCCGUAGAGAUGUGAAGGAACACCGGAGGCGAAGGCGCCUAUCUGGACGACUAUUGACGCUGAGGCUCGAAAGCGUGGGGAGCAAACAGGAUUAGAAACCCUGGUAGUCC
rnacentral:rRNA from 1 species